UUUUUUUUUUUUUUUAGCAUAAGUUAUAUCCUAAAUAUUUCAUAGGAUAUAUUUUAUCCCCAAAAUUACUUGCUGUUUAUGUGAAAUUCAGUUUUUAUCUGGACAUUCUGGAUUUUUAUCUGCUAAAUACAUAAACCCCAACUGAGGGUCAAAGAAGAACCAGGCAGCUCAUACAAGUUAUAGACGGCAGAGUUGCUACUGGACAUUAUAAGAGGUGCAAACUCUAAGAUGUGUAUAUAUUGUCUCAUUUAAUACUGACAGUAUGAAGUUAUUCUCCCCAUUUUCCAGAUGAGGAAACUGAGGUCCCAGGGAAUAAGUAACUUGCUCAAAGUGGUAGAGUCAAGAUGCAGUUCCAGACGCAUGUUUUCAAUUAUCUACUGUGUUUGCUAGGAUGCUAGCUCUGACUAGCAGAGUCCUGUUUAACUGUAUGAUUUAGGCAACUGCUUUGCGACUUCCAGGCCAGAUGUUGCAGACUCCAUAAAGGCACUGGAAGGCAGUUAUCCAUGGAUGCCCAGUGUGCACUGGAGUGUCAGUUCCCCUUAGAAGUGUUUACAUGAGAUUCUGUACUAAGCGUAUCCUCAAUAAACUGCUUUGACCCUAUCCUGAGAAAGCCAACAUCAAGUGAAGUCUGACUUGCAACAAAUGAGAAGUAAGGCACAGAUAAGGGCUCCAUAAAUGUGCAGUUGGUUCCAACUCCUGAGAAGGUCUUCUAUGAAAAAGAGCUGUGGCAGCAGUCUUACUCUACAGCAGAGUUGGAGAAGCCCAAAAGGUCUUCGGUAAAACAUCUUCAUAUCUAAAAUACAAAAGAAACUAAACAAAAACACCUCUAAAUUUAUGGAUGUAAUUGUUGUGUCAGAAAUCAAAUGACUGUUAUACAUAUUAUCUCUAAAAUAGGGAGAAAGGUGAAAAGGGAAAAGAACCUAAGGAAGAAAAGUAUGUUGCAAUUUUUACAUCUGUUCAACAUCUGUGCUGAAAGGUAGACUUCAGAGCUUUUAUUUUUUCCUUCUAAGCUUUAGAUCCUGUCUCCUGUAAAUUGGCAAAAAUACAUGUAUAAGAUCACUGGAUACCCAGAGGAUAUAGACACAUGAAUAGUACUAUUACUGAGCUAUCCUUGUGUUUAUUUAUUUGUCAAUAUGCCACUGAGUAUUGAAACAUCAGUUCCGAGCUACAGUUUUGGAGGCUCCAGCCUGCUUCCCAAUACUCUUAUUAAACCAUCAAUGCAUGUUCUUUCUCUACUUCCUAUGUAGCUCUUUUUUUAAAUGUCAUUGUCUUGAUUAAUUUUCUGUUCCCUUUCGGAUGACAUUUGGGAAACAAUUCUCCCUGGAGAACCAACAUUCCAUAUUCCUGACCAUUUCAUGGCACUCAAAGUCAAGAUAAAAAUUAGAUUCCCCUCUUGGAAUCUCUACACUCAGAGUGUGAGAUAUUUUAAUUACCCUGUUGUGAGUACUUUGUAAUCACAUGACUAGCACCUAUGGCCAUGUGUUAACAAAGUGAGAGAGCAAUGACAACAACAUUAAAUGGUAUAUUUAUGUCUGUUUACAUGAAGAAGGAUCAUUCUCUUCUCUCUAUCCUCUGUGUAAUUCAAUGCAAUUUCUUCUGUGAAAAUAAAAUAAAAUUCUAUGGUAUAUAUGCAUAGCCAGUGAAACAUUUUGAAAAUUCCAGUAGUUUCACUCUACUCCCAUCCCCACCCCACCCAAGGUUGCGAUUUAGCCCUAAAACUGGAAUUUGGAUGUAGGAGAGAAUUUCAUGAAGGAAAUUAAAGAAAAGUCUGGCCCUGUAAGGCAAAGGAGAGAAGACAGAAGGGCAAGAUCAGACAUAGAUAUUUGAAUCUACCCUCUUCUAAAUUUAAGCCAUAAAAAAGGAGGUUUACAUGAUAAUUUCAGAGAAAUAUCAAGGAUGAAGGCCCUUUUUCCAGCUUAAUGCUUGGAACCUUGUAAGAAACUAUUCAGAGCCCUCGUAAGCCACACGUCGGGGGCUGCCAUUUCGCAGUAAGCUUGGGUGGUUGCAGAGUUAAAGAGAAGGAGGGCAACAUUUGCCUUUCCCAUGCUUCCCUCCUCUGCAUCUGGAAUGUACCAACUUUGGAGAAGCACCCAUGCGCCUCCUGGAGACUGCAUGUGGGAUAGUCAGCCUGUCAUGGGGCACACUGGAACUGGAGGCAAGGUGACCACAAAGUACAAGCCAUCAAAUGCACAGCCCAGACUCAGGGCCAGAUGAAUAUAUGACGGUGACUCAGAGGAACUGUCCAACUAGCCACACUUUGAGAGAGAUGACUUGAGGCUGAUUGGGGUGCACCAGCGGGCCUGACCAGGCAGAAUGAGGCAGACUGUAAGUUAGACCAGACAAAGGGUGCAGCUAAGGGCUAUAGUGCUCACGCUGAGUGUCACCAAUUCAGGAAGCAGCCCAGAGUAGCAACUUGAUGGGAGAGGCCAGAGAUACCCUGAGGAUGCAGGGACCUCAUCUCUUCUUGAAACUUGAGUACGGAAAAGGCCUUUACAUCCCAACACAGAGAAGAGAAAGGCAUAUGGGGGCAUCUCAAAAUGACUGUAUGUUUUCGGUUGGUUUGUUUGUUCUUGCUUUUUAGGGCCAUGCCCGAGGCAUAUGGAAGUUCCUAGGCUGGGGUUGAAUCAUUAACAAUAGCUGCCAGCCUAAGCCACGGCCGCAGCAACGCCGGAUCUAAGCUGCAUCUGAGACCCACACCACAGCUCAUGGCAACGUUGGAUCCUUAACCCACUGAGGGAGGCCAGGGAUGGAACCCGCAUCCUCAGGGAUACUAGUCAGAUUCGUUUCCACUGUGCCACAACAGAAAUUCCUGGAUGUUUUAUCUAGAGAUUUCAUCGUCUAAAGAAAUUGUUCAAAUGCUGCUGUUAAACAGAUCAACAGAUUAUUCUCCCAUGCAUGUCCCUUUCCCCUCCAUCAAAUAGAGGGGUGAAGAGCCCAUGAGAAAAAUCAAAUACAUUAAUACAAAAAUUAAAAAAGUAUAUGAACAUUGCAUAGGGGAAUAUUUUGUAAGAAACUGUGUAAUUCUCUUACACAUAUUUAUAUAAUAUAUAAAUGUGUUUCAAAGAUUUCAAACCUUUAUAAGCCAAGAUUUGUCCUACUCCAAGAGUGCUGGAGAGGGUAGACUUGAGGAUACCAGGCGCCUCAUGCAUAUUUCUGUUCUUCAAAAAUAUUGUGAUCACGUGAAGAUGUUUGACUUAAAGGAGCUCUGAGCUGUGUAGUGGUCUCAUUCCCUCUGGGACUGUGCUUGAUGGAAACCACUCCCAUAUAAACACUUGGCCACUGUGCUCCACAAGACUCAGACGACAAAAGGCAAGCAACAGAAUGCCCCAGCACAUACUAGAUUCAAAGAUGGGGUGUAUAUUAUCCUGUAAACCCAGCUCUGGGGAGGAACCAUUGAGAAGAAUAUUUUCAUCCUUUACCUAUGCCCUUCUCAGCUCAUUCUUAUAAACAAGUUUUCUCAUAGGGUCCCUUGGCAGUUCCGGAUUCAUAUCUCACCAACUUUAUAAUUUACUCAUUGGCUAUACCUUAAAAAUCCCUCCUGAAAUUAUAUUUUUGGCCCAUAUUAGUUUAUAUAAACACUCUUCUGUUGGUUUCCUAUUGCUGCUAUAACAAAUUACCACAAACUUAAUGGCUUAAAUAAUAUAAAAUUAUUAUCUCAUAGUUCUGGAUGUCAGAAGUCUGAAAUGGGUUUCUUUUGAGCCAAAUUCAACCCAUAGGCUGAGUUGAGUUCCCUUCUGGAGGCUCUGAAGGGAAAAAAACUUGCCAGUUCCAGUUUCUAGAAACCACUGGAUUUUUUUUUUUUGUUCACACUCCUACCCAAAGCCAGCAACAAUGGGUUGAGUUCUUAUAUCACAACACUCUAACCUUCUCUUCCGUCUCUCUCUUUUUAAGCACCGUUGUGAUUGCACUGGGUCCACCCAGACAUUCCAGAGUAUUCUCUCUACUUUGAGAUCUGCUCAUUAGUAAUCUAAAUUCCAUCUGGCUCUUUAAGUCCCUUUACCAUGUAACACAGCAUAUUCACAAGUUUUGAGGAUAAGAAUGUGAACAUCUUUGGUAGGCAUGGUUUUGCCUAUGAAAAUCUUCUUGAACCAAUAGUUUUAGCAAAAGAAUUUAGAUGCUCUGAUUUACCCAGCAUGGACCAGAGUUUUACCCCUUUGGUCAGAGGAGCAGUGUAUCUGACUGCAAGCACCUUCUGGAACCAUAUGAUUGGGACAGGGAAAUAUCUAUCUCUACAAAGAAGACGAUUCUUUUAAAGAAAGGGGGAGGAAAAAGUGGCUGUACAGACAAUAAUACCGGUCUUCUACUUCCUGAUAUUUCAGCCUUCACACAACAGCAAACCUCAUCAAAGAACUGAUAUCUCUAAGAGGAGCCAACAUACAAAGCAACUGAAUGUUCCUAGAAGGUCACAGAAACAUGAGACAAUUAGUAAACAGAAAUUUGUUUUUAUACCUUAGAGAUCUUGAUUGGUAAGUUCCCUGAAUAUAUUGUCUAAGUCUAUAGAAUAUUAGCUUUUUACAACCAUGUCCCCAAAGUAGCAACUAGCAAUUCACAUGUCUUCAUAUGGGAGUGGAAAUUUGAAGGGAGGAAGAGGAAAGUAGAUCCCUUUCAAGGCACCUAAGUCAGAAGCAGAAAGACCAGGGGCUUUUGCAAACCACACAUCCCCAAAUUCUGACAGUGUUCCCCAAGGAGACAUUUGUGUCAGUUUUUUUAUGUGAGCCUUAUGGCCACACAGGCCAAUGCUACCUAUGUGACCAUAGGAUAUUUCUUAAUGAUACUGGCAGGAGAAGACAGAACACAAUCUACCUGGAUGCUAAGUUGAAGAGGAUUACUUGAGGAAAUAGGUAACUGAGCAAUUGUGCUACGAAUAGAAGUAUUAAUUUUUUUUCUUUGUAUGGCCACACCCAUGGCAUACAGACGUUUCAGGCUAACACAUCUGUGAGACUCUCCUUUCACCUUUCACAGACUUCCUAUACCUGCCUCCUUCCCUGCCACCCAGAAAUAUCAACUUCCCACAAUUUGCUGCACAUACUUCUGAGUGCUCCUUUGGCAAAUUUAUACACAUAUUUAUAUAUAUAUUUUUUUUUUAGAUUAUAAAGUAUAAACACAGUACUCGUUGACAUUUGUCUUCUUUUCCAUUUGACAUAGACCUCUUAGAGGUCUUUUCCUCCCCGGCAUUUUUAAGGGAUGCCUAUAGUUAAUCACUUACUUAGUUCAUGGAUAAUUGGGUUAUUUCUAGUGUUUCACUGCAACUAACAAGUCUACCUUGAAAAUUCUCAUGAACACAUGUUUUUUUGUACCGAUGGCAGUGGUUCUUUACAACAAAUUUCUAGGAAAGGGAGAUUGCUGGUUCAACUUACAUUUGAGAGUAAUAAACUUCCUGCCAAUCUUUAUCAACAAUAUAUGAGCAUGUAUCCUUGCCAAACCCUACUUAUUAAUAUUUUGGUACUUAUUGUUAAUAUGAAGGACAUAAAUUGAUUCGUUUCUUUAUUUGCUUUUGUCUGGUGACAAGUGCUUCAUAAACAUAUUGUUUUAUAAAUUAUGCUAUUUUACUUUUUCACAUAUUUACUGCAUUUUUUUUUUUCCUGAGGAAAUCACCCUUCAUGUUUUGCCCAUUCUUCUGUGGAAUUUCUGACUGAUUUGUAAGAACUCUUCAUGUAUUAGAAUACUAGUACUUUGUCUUGAAUUACUUCAAAUAUCUUCCCACAAUAAAAUGUCUAAGAUAACUAGGGGUUUAUUAGGGGGUAAAAAGAGCACAUUUUAGGUAUGAAGAAAUUUUGACUACUUUAUUAAAUCAGGUAGUUAUGUAAUGAGUUUAAUUCUUGUCAAUUCAGGUAAAAGUUUUUACAUGUAUAGGUAACUUUACCCAGAUUUGAACACAAGAGAGUUAGAGUUCCAUUAGGCAACUUGAACAAGAGCUCAAAGUCUUACAGGGUAGAUAACAUGGUACACUAUACUGCCCAUAUUAUGGAAGGUCUGAACAAUUUGACCUACUGAAACAUAAUAACUAUCAUCUGUCUGCAUGUUCUCUAUAAUUUCUUUCAAUAAAGUUGUAUGGGGUUUUUUUUGUGGGGAGGGAUUUGUUGAAUUGAAAGUGGGAAUGAAAGGCAACUAAAGAAAGGUAUCCAGGGGCAUGCAGCUAACAUUUGAAGGAUUACUGAUGUCUAGCAUUGGCAGUUACCCAAAUGUUUCCAUAUAUGUCUUAACCCUCAAAGGUGACAUUUUGAGAAGUAUAAGGCCAAUCCAUUUUCUUAUAUGAUAUUAAAUGACUUGUCCAAGUUCAAGAGCUGGUAAGGAAGAAACCUCUUUCUUUCUCCCUCCCUCUUUUCUAUCUCAUACAUACACCUAUAAAGGUAACUGCUUAACCAUUCGGACAUCCUUUUCAUUUUAAAGACAUUUUAGUUGAUUAGAUCAGUUAAUUGAUAAUCUUAGUGGUCAUAUAAGAAUAACAUGUGACCCAUUUUCAUUAAUCCCUUUAAUCCCUUCAAAAGAUGUUAAUCCCUUCAAAAGAUGCUUCUUUAUCAUCUAGUAUGUACAAAGCACAGUGAAGAGCUAUUAAGCUGUGAAAAGACAUGGCGGAAUCUUAAACGCAUAUUACUAAGUGAAAGAAACCAACCCAAAAAUUCUACAUCUUUUAUAAUUCCAACUAUGAUAUUCUGGAAAAGGUAAAACAAUGAAGACACUACAAAGAUCAGUGGUUGCUAGAGGUGGGCAUGGGGGAGAAAGAUGAAUUGGGAAAGCUGAGAGGAUUUGGGGGGCAGUGAAUAAACUCUG
rnacentral:lncRNA from 1 species